AGGCGCAUCGCGCCGCGACGCUGAUGGAUUUAUCGCGGAAAAAAUACGGGAACAGCCGCGACGCGACCGUGUUCUCUCGUGUAUCGCGCGUCGCAGAAACGCGUUGUUGCUUUUGUUACUCCUCGGCGCGGCGGCAGCCAGCAGCGUAGCUCGGAGAUGAGUGGUGAAAGCUUUAUUUGGAAAUAUAUUUGGGGGUUGCCAAGAGAGUGCCGAGUCAUAAAAAUCGCGGAAAUUCCGUUUUUCAAAUGUCACUUCGCUCGCAGCGACAGCAAAUACUUUAAUGGUUCGACACACCAAUCUUCGAUACAUUGAAUGCGGCUUCUCCACGAGCGCAAAAUGUUAAUGGAUAUUUGUGCCGAACGCGUGCUGGGUAUAUACGUUAGGCCAGACUGAUGGAGAAACGCAGCAGCAUAAUGAAGUAAAGGAGUACAGGUAAUAUCAACCACAGUUACCAAUAAAUAUGAACGGGUAGACUAUGAAGGAUCAGUUUAAAAUGGAAAUAUUUCAAGAAUAAAUAAAAGUAAUAAUCA